GACGAACGCUGGCGGCGUGCCUAAUACAUGCAAGUUGAGCGCUGAAGGUUGGUACUUGUACCAACUGGAUGAGCAGCGAACGGGUGAGUAACGCGUGGGGAAUCUGCCUUUGAGCGGGGGACAACAUUUGGAAACGAAUGCUAAUACCGCAUAAAAACUUUAAACACAAGUUUUAAGUUUGAAAGAUGCAAUUGCAUCACUCAAAGAUGAUCCCGCGUUGUAUUAGCUAGUUGGUGAGGUAAAGGCUCACCAAGGCGAUGAUACAUAGCCGACCUGAGAGGGGGAUCGGCCACAUUGGGACUGAGACACGGCCCAAACGCCUACGGGAGGCAGCAGUAGGGAAUCUUCGGCAAUGGACGAAAGUCUGACCGAGCAACGCCGCGUGAGUGAAGAAGGUUUUCGGAUCGUAAAAAUCGGUUGGUAGAGAAGAACGUUGGUGAGAGUGGAAAGCUCAUCAAGUGACGGUAACUACACAGAAAGGAACGGCUAACUACGUG
rnacentral:rRNA from 1 species